rnacentral:rRNA from 1 species
GUCGAGAAUCUUCCGCAAUGGGCGAAAGCCUGACGGAGCGACACCGCGUGCAGGAUGAAGGCCUUCGGGUUGUAAACUGCUGUCACGCUAUAGGAAUGGCGUACCGUGAAUAGCGAUACGAUUGACCAAAGCGAGAGGAAGCACCGGCUAACUCCGUGCCAGCAGCCGCGGUAAGACGGAGGGUGCAAACGUUGUUCGGAAUCACUGGGCAUAAAGCGCACGUAGGCGGUCCGCUAAGUCAUGUGUGAAAUCCCCCGGCCCAACCGGGGAACUGCAUAUGAUACUGACGGGCUCGAGGACGGUAGGGGUGAGUGGAACUCCAGGUGGAGCGGUGAAAUGCGUAGAUAUCUGGAGGAACACCGGUGGCGAAAGCGGCUCACUGGACCGUCUCUGACGCUGAGGUGCGAAAGCUAGGGUAGCGAACGGG